GAACUAGUUGCAGGGCUUCUCUCCUUUGGCAGGUUAUGUACAUAGAUGAUAAAUCAGGAGCUAAUUCUUCAUUUCUUCUAAUUUAAAGAUAACCCGCCAAAGGAGAGUUGCCCUUUGACUGGUUA
rnacentral:pre_miRNA from 1 species